rnacentral:rRNA from 1 species
AUUGAACGCUGGCGGCAGGCUUAACACAUGCAAGUCGAGCGGGGGAAGGUAGCUUGCUACCGGACCUAGCGGCGGACGGGUGAGUAAUGCUUAGGAAUCUGCCUAUUAGUGGGGGACAACAUCUCGAAAGGGAUGCUAAUACCGCAUACGUCCUACGGGAGAAAGCAGGGGAUCUUCGGACCUUGCGCUAAUAGAUGAGCCUAAGUCGGAUUAGCUGGUUGGUGGGUUAAAGGCAUACCGAGGCGACGCUCUGUAGGGGGUCUGAGAGGAUGAUCCGCCACACUGGGACUGAGACACGGCCCAGACUCCUACGGGAGGCAGCAGUGGGGAAUAUUGGACAAUGGGGGGAACCCUGAUCCAGCCAUGCCGCGUGUGUGAAGAAGGCCUUAUGGUUGUAAAGCACUUUAAGCGAGGAGGAGGCUACUUUAGUUAAUACCUAGAGAUAGUGGACGUUACUCGCAGAAUAAGCACCCGCUAACUCUGUGCCAGCAGCCGCAGUAA